rnacentral:rRNA from 1 species
GACGAACGCUGGCGGCGUGCUUAACACAUGCAAGUCGAACGGAAAGGCCCUGCUUUUGUGGGGUGCUCGAGUGGCGAACGGGUGAGUAACACGUGAGUAACCUGCCCUUGACUUUGGGAUAACUUCAGGAAACUGGGGCUAAUACCGGAUAGGAGCUCCUGCUGCAUGGUGGGGGUUGGAAAGUUUCGGCGGUUGGGGGUGGACUCGCGGCUUAUCAGCUUGUUGGUGGGGUAGUGGCUUACCAAGGCUUUGACGGGUAGCCGGCCUGUGAGGGUGACCGGCCACAUUGGGACUGAGAUACGGCCCAGACUCCUACGGGAGGCAGCAGUGGGGAAUAUUGCACAAUGGGCGGAAGCCUGAUGCAGCAACGCCGCGUGCGGGAUGACGGCCUUCGGGUUGUAAACCGCUUUCGCCUGUGACGAAGCGUGAGUGACGGUAAUGGGUAAAGAAGCACCGGCUAACUACGUG